AACGAACGCUGGCGGCAUGCCUAACACCUGCAAGUCGAACGAGACCUUCGGGUCUAGUGGCGCACGGGUGCGUAACGCGUGGUAACCUGCCCUUAGGUUCGGAAUAACUCCCCGAAAGGGGUGCUAAUACCGGAUAAUGUCUUCGGACCAAAGAUUUAUCGCCUUUGGAUGGGCCCGCGUUGGAUUAGCUAGUUGGUAGGGUAAAAGCCUACCAAGGCGACGAUCCAUAGCUGGUCUGAGAGGAUGAUCAGCCACACUGGGACUGAGACACGGCCCAGACUCCUACGGGAGGCAGCAGUGGGGAAUAUUGGACAAUGGGCGAAAGCCUGAUCCAGCAAUGCCGCGUGAGUGAUGAAGGCCUUAGGGUUGUAAAGCUCUUUUACCCGGGAUGAUAAUGACAGUACCGGGAGAAUAAGAUCCGGCUAACUCCGUG
rnacentral:rRNA from 1 species